UACGGAGGGGGCUAGCGUUGUUCGGAAUUACUGGGCGUAAAGCGCACGUAGGCGGAUUGGAAAGUUGGGGGUGAAAUCCCGGGGCUCAACCCCGGAACUGCCUUCAAAACUCCCAGUCUGGAGGUCGAGAGAGGUGAGUGGAAUUCCGAGUGUAGAGGUGAAAUUCGUAGAUAUUCGGAGGAACACCAGUGGCGAAGGCGGCUCACUGGCUCGAUACUGACGCUGAGGCACGAAAGCGUGGGGAUCAAACAGG
rnacentral:rRNA from 1 species